AGGGCCAAAGACUGGAGAAGCAACUGGCAACAACUGUGAAGAAGAAAAGUGACGUCAUGGACCAAGUGACUAAGGCCUAUUCAGAGAGGGACGAAGCCCAGACCAAGAUGAGAGCCCUCAGGGAUCGGGCUGAGAGAGAUGCCCAGCAGUACAGCCACGAACUGAAGAAGCUUCAGAGGGCUCUUGAUCACCAAAACCAUCUGCGGGCUUUCGUGGCCACCAUCUCUGCUGGGGAGGACGACGAUAUGUCACGUCGCCGUACCGAAGGCGAAGGCGCAGAGCCUAGGGGCCCAGAGCAAACUUUAGCCACGUACAGAGCUGCCGUCUCUCACUUGCGGGAGAUGAGCGGCGAAGAUUCAGUGGAAAGCCUCGUCAGUAACUACCUGCAAGCAGAGAACGACAACUACACUCUCUUCACCUACAUAUCCGAUCUUAACAAUGAGGUAAGGGGGUUACUACAAAUGGAUUACUUAUGCCUUUCAACCCUUCCAAAUCGUGUUUGUAUCUUUUCCCACCUCUGUGUGGGGUCGACGUUCUGACAGCUUUCCUCCACCUGACUCGGUCAAACACAUUGUCCUUUGACAACUGUUUGUCUCUCAGAUCUUCUUGAACAACAUCCAUCCACCUUCGCUUCAGUC